rnacentral:misc_RNA from 1 species
GAUGAAGAACGCAGCGAAAUGCGAUAAAUAAUGUGAAUUGCAGAAUUCAGUGAAUCAUCGAGUCUUUGAACGCACAUUGCGCCCCCUGGUAUUCCGGGGGGCAUGCCUGUCCGAGCGUCAUUGCUGCCCUCAAGCACGGCUUGUGUGUUGGGCCCCGUCCUCCGAUCCCGGGGGACGGGCCCGAAAGGCAGCGGCGGCACCGCGUCCGGUCCUCGAGCGUAUGGGGCUUUGUCACCCGCUCUGUAGGCCCGGCCGGCGCUUGCCGAUCAACCCAAAUUUUUAUCCAGGUUGACCUCGGAUCAGGUAGGGAUACCCGCUGAACUUAAGCAUAUCAAUAAGCGGAGGA